UGGGGAAUCUUGCGCAAUGGACGAAAGUCUGACGCAGCAACGCCGCGUGAGUGAAGAAGGCCUUCGGGUUGUAAAGCUCUGUCGUAUAGGACGAAAGCCACAUACAUGAAGAAGGUAUGUGUUUGACGGUACUGUAAAAGGAAGCACCGGCUAACUCUGUGCCAGCAGCCGCGGUAAUACAGAGGGUGCAAGCGUUGUUCGGAAUUAUUGGGCGUAAAGAGCAGGUAGGUGGUCUUAUUAGUCUAAGGUGAAAGCCUUGAGCUUAACUCAAGAAGUGCCUUGGAAACGGUAAGACUAGAGUCUUGGAGAGGGUCGCGGAAUUCCCGGUGUAGCGGUGAAAUGCGUAGAGAUCGGGAGGAACACCAGUGGCGAAAGCGGUGACCUGGACAAGUACUGACACUCAACUGCGAAAGCAUGGGGAGCAAACAGG
rnacentral:rRNA from 1 species